GCCAAGCCCUAUGAUUACCGUACCCCCCAGUGGGCGGGGCUUAGGGUUACCAUAGCAACAAAGGGGAGCAGCCAAUAGGAAGCCUUGCCUGCUUGCUCCGCUGUCAUCGCUGUGGGUCAAUGGGGAGAAGAUGGGGGGGAGCGAGCCCAUGGCGGGAACACGGACAGCCAAUGGGGAGCGGAGAAACACAAUGGAGGGAAACCGGCAGCCAAUGGGCGCCUGCCAAACAGGGAUGACGUCAUCAACCCGUAGAGGGACACGGAGCUCACCCGGAUGGAGGGGUCGCGCGUAUAUGACGUCAUCACCCCGCGCCCGACCAGUUGAUGACGUCACAGCGGCACUUCCGUUUUAUUCCAAGCGAUUUGGCCCCAAAGUCGCCCCGCCCCCACGUGGCAACACGUGACGUCACCGACCGCCCCGCCCACAUAGCAACACGUGACGUCACUGCCCCACACAUCAGCCCCACUUAUGGGGCAGGGCUCCACUUAUGGGGCAGAACCCACUUAUAGGGCAGAGCCCCACUUAUGGGGCAGGGUUCCACUUAUGGGGCAGAACCCACUUAUGGGGCAGUGCCCCACUUAUGGGGCAGAGCUUCACAUACUUAGGGGUUGCAGCCCCACUUGUGGGGCAGAGCUCCACUUAUGGGUCAGGACCCCACUUAUGGGGCGGGAUGCCACUUAUGGGUCGCAGCCCCACUUGUGGGUCAGAGCUUCACAUACUUGGGGGUCACAGCCACACUUAUGGGUCAGUCCAGGGGGGGGGGAGGUUACGACACUGUGGGGCAGAGCCAUGGAGUGUCGCUAUGGGGCAGCGCCCCACUUAUGGGGUAGAGCUUCACGUACUUAUGGGACACAGCCACACUUGGGG
rnacentral:lncRNA from 1 species